CCAACCCGCCAGGGAACUACGAGCCCAGUCUUAAAACCCAAAGGACUUGACGGUGCCCCACCCACCUARAGGAGCCUGUUCUAUAAUCGACACCACCCGCUAUACCUUACCUCUUCUAGCACAUCAGUCUGUAUACCUCCGUCACAAGCCUACCGUGUGAACGCUUGCAGUGGGCUGAAAGAUUCCUCCAUCAACACGUCAGGUCAAGGUGCAACUUACGAAGUGGGAAGCAAUGGGCUACAAUUUCUAUAAUAGAAUACACGAAAAACUGCAUGCAAUACAGUCAUGAAGGUGGAUUUAGCAGUAAAAAGAAAAUAGAGAGUUCUUUUAAACAAGGCGCUGGGACGCGC
rnacentral:rRNA from 1 species